rnacentral:rRNA from 2 species
UGGGGAAUAUUGCACAAUGGGCGAAAGCCUGACCCAGCGACGCCGCGUGAAGGAAGACGGUCCUCGGAUUGUAAACUUCUUUUAUAAGGGACGAAGUAUGACGGUACCUUAUGAAUAAGCCACGGCUAACUACGUGCCAGCAGCCGCGGUAAUACGUAGGUGGCGAGCGUUAUCCGGAUUUACUGGGUGUAAAGGGUGUGUAGGCGGGACUGCAAGUCAGGUGUGAAAAUCAUGGGCUCAACUCAUGACCUGCACUUGAAACUGUGGUUCUUGAGGGUCGGAGAGGUAACUGGAAUUCCUGGUGUAGCGGUGAAAUGCGUAGAUAUCAGGAGGAACACCGGUGGCGAAGGCGGGUUACUGGACGAUUACUGACGCUGAGACACGAAAGCGUGGGGAGCAAACAGG